rnacentral:rRNA from 1 species
UCGCCCUUAGAGUUUGAUCCUGGCUCAGGACGAACGCUGGCGGCGUGCCUAACACAUGCAAGUCGAGCGAAGUGCUUACAAGAGAUUCCUUCGGGAUGACCAUGUAAGUAUCUUAGCGGCAAACGGGUGAGUAACGCGUGAGAAACCUGUCUUUCACAAAGGGAUAGCCUCGGGAAACCGGGAUUAAUACCUUAUGAUACUAAAGUAAUGCAUAUUACCUUAGUUAAAGUGCAAAACGGUGAUUGAGGGUCUCGCGUCCCAUUAGCUAGUUGGUAGGAUAAAAGCCUACCAAGGCAACGAUGGGUAACCGGCCUGAGAGGGUGAACGGUCACACUGGAACUGAGACACGGUCCAGACUUCUACGGGAGGCAGCAGUGGGGAAUAUUGCACAAUGGAGGAAACUCUGAUGCAGCGACGUCGCGUGAACGAUGAAGGCUUUCGAGUCGUAAAGUUCUGUCUUUAGGGACGAUAAUGACGGUACCUAAAGAGGAAGCCCCGGCUAACUACGUGCCAGCAGCCGCGGUAAUACGUAGGGGGCGAGCGUUGUCCGGAUUUAUUGGGCGUAAAGGGUUCGCAGGCGGCCUUUUAAGUCAGAUGUGAAAUCCCAUAGCUCAACUAUGGUAAGCAUUUGAAACUGGAAGGCUUGAGUUAAGGAGAGGAAAGUGGAAUUCCUAGUGUAGCGGUGAAAUGCGUAGAUAUUAGGAGGAAUACCAGUGGCGAAGGCGACUUUCUGGACUUACACUGACGCUGAGGAACGAAAGCGUGGAUAGCAAACAGGAUUAGAUACCCUGGUAGUCC